UACAGAGGUCUCAAGCGUUGUUCGGAUUCAUUGGGCGUAAAGGGUGCGUAGGUGGCGCGGUAAGUCGGGUGUGAAAUUUCGGAGCUUAACUCCGAAACUGCAUUCGAUACUGCCGUGCUUGAGGACUGGAGAGGAGACUGGAAUUUACGGUGUAGCAGUGAAAUGCGUAGAGAUGGGGGAGAACACUCGUGGCGAAGGCGGCCAGCUAGACCAGUUCUGACACUGAGGCGCGACAGCGUGGGGAGCAAACAGG
rnacentral:rRNA from 1 species